rnacentral:rRNA from 1 species
AUUGAACGCUGGCGGCAUGCCUUACACAUGCAAGUCGAACGGUAACAGGUUAAGCUGACGAGUGGCGAACGGGUGAGUAAUGUAUCGGAACGUGCCCAGUCGUGGGGGAUAACUGCUCGAAAGAGCAGCUAAUACCGCAUACGACCUGAGGGUGAAAGCGGGGGAUCGCAAGACCUCGCGCGAUUGGAGUGGCCGAUAUCAGAUUAGGUAGUUGGUGGGGUAAAAGCCCACCAAGCCGACGAUCUGUAGCUGGUCUGAGAGGACGACCAGCCACACUGGGACUGAGACACGGCCCAGACUCCUACGGGAGGCAGCAGUGGGGAAUUUUGGACAAUGGGCGCAAGCCUGAUCCAGCCAUGCCGCGUGCGGGAAGAAGGCCUUCGGGUUGUAAACCGCUUUUGUCAGGGAAGAAAAGGUCCUGGUUAAUACCUGGGACUCAUGACGGUACCUGAAGAAUAAGCACCGGCUAACUACGUGCCAGCCGCCGCCGUAAGAC